rnacentral:rRNA from 1 species
GAUGAACGCUGGCGGCGUGCCUAAUACAUGCAAGUCGAACGAACAGACGAUGAUCUUGCUCCUCUGACGUUAGCGGCGGACGGGUGAGUAACACGUGUAUAACCUACCUGUAAUACUGGUAUCACUUCGAGAAACCGGAUCUAAUACCGUAGAAUAUAUUGAACCGCGUUGUUCAAUGGUGAAAUUCGGUUUUGCUGGCUCUUAUAGAGGGAUCCGCGCCGCAUUAGCUAGUUGUUAAGUUAACGGCUUACCAAGGCAACGAGGCGUAGCCGAACUGAGAGGGUGAUAGGCCACCCUGGAACUGAGACACGGUCCAGACUCCUAAGGGAGGCAGCAGUAGGGAAUCUUACGCAAAGGGCGAAAGCUUGACGGAGCAACGCCGAGUGAGUGAUGAAGGUCUUGGGAUCGGAAAAAUCUGUUAUUAGGGAAGAACAAAUGUGUAAGUAAACAUGCACGGAUUGACGGUAACUAAUCAGAAAGCCACGGCUAACUACGUG